GUCGAGCUACUACGGUAGUGAAGUCAUUGAUGCCAUGCUUCCAGGAAAAGCCUCUAAGCUUCAGAUUGUAAGGAAUCGUACCCCAAACCGACACAGGUGGUCGGGUAGAGAAUACCAAGGCGCUUGAGAGAACUCGGGUGAAGGAACUAGGCAAAAUGGUACCGUAACUUCGGGAGAAGGUACGCUCUUGAUGGUGAAGUCCCUUGCGGAUGGAGCUGACGAGAGUCGCAGAUACCAGGUGGCUGCAACUGUUUAUUAAAAACACAGCACUGUGCAAAAUCGUAAGAUGACGUAUACGGUGUGACGCCUGCCCGGUGCCGGAAGGUUAAUUGAUGGGGUUAGCGUAAGCGAAGCUCUUGAUCGAAGCCCCGGUAAACGGCGGCCGUAACUAUAACGGUCCUAAGGUAGCGAAAUUCCUUGUCGGGUAAGUUCCGACCUGCACGAAUGGCGUAAUGAUGGCCACGCUGUCUCCACCCGAGACUCAGUGAAAUUGAAAUCGCUGUGAAGAUGCAGUGUACCCGCGGCUAGACGGAAAGACCCCGUGAACCUUUACUACAGCUUGGCACUGAACAUUGAACCUACAUGUGUAGGAUAGGUGGGAGGCUUUGAAGACGUGACGCCAGUUGCGUUGGAGCCGUCCUUGAAAUACCACCCUUGUAUGUUUGAUGUUCUAACGUUGGCCCCUAAUCGGGGUUGCGGACAGUGCCUGGUGGGUAGUUUGACUGGGGCGGUCUCCUCCCAAAGAGUAACGGAGGAGCACGAAGGUGGGCUAAUCACGGUUGGACAUCGUGAGGUUAGUGCAAUGGCAUAAGCCCGCUUAACUGCGAGAAUGACGGUUCGAGCAGGUGCGAAAGCAGGUCAUAGUGAUCCGGUGGUUCUGAAUGGAAGGGCCAUCGCUCAACGGAUAAAAGGUACUCCGGGGAUAACAGGCUGAUACCGCCCAAGAGUUCAUAUCGACGGCGGUGUUUGGCACCUCGAUGUCGGCUCAUCACAUCCUGGGGCUGAAGUCGGUCCCAAGGGUAUGGCUGUUCGCCAUUUAAAGUGGUACGCGAGCUGGGUUUAGAACGUCGUGAGACAGUUCGGUCCCUAUCUGCCGUGGGCGUUGGAAGAUUGAAGGGGGCUGCUCCUAGUACGAGAGGACCGGAGUGGACGAACCUCUGGUGUUCGGGUUGUGUCGCCAGACGCAUUGCCCGGUAGCUAAGUUCGGAAUCGAUAACCGCUGAAAGCAUCUAAGCGGGAAGCGAGCCCUGAGAUGAGUCUUCCCUGAUACUUUAAGUAUCCUGAAGGGUUGUUCGAGACUAGAACGUUGAUAGGCAGGGUGUGUAAGCGCUGUGAGGCGUUGAGCUAACCUGUACUAAUUGCCCGUGAGGCUUAACCAUACAACACCCAAAGGGUUUUG
rnacentral:rRNA from 1 species